UCAAGAAACUUCCACAAUGGGCGAAAGCCUGAUGGAGCGACGUCGCGUGAUGGACGAAGUGCUUCGGCACGUAAACAUCUUUUUAUGUGGGAUGAAAUUAUUGACAGUACCACAUGAAUAAGGGGCUCCUAACUCUGUGCCAGCAGGAGCGGUAAUACAGAGGCCCCAAGCGUUAUCCGGAAUCACUGGGCGUAAAGGGUGUCGAGGCGGUUGUAUUAGUCGUUCGUAAAAUCUACGAGCUUAACUUGUAGGCGGCGAACGAAACGGUACGACUUGAGGUUUGGAGAGGUGCGUGGAACUCACGGUGUAGGGGUGAAAUCCGUUGAUAUCGUGGGGAACACCAAAGGCGAAGGCAGCGCACUGGCCAAAAUCUGACGCUCACACACGAAAGCUAGGGUAGCGAAGAGGAUUAGAUACCCGGGUAGUCCCUGAGCGGGCUGGCAAGGCGCAU
rnacentral:rRNA from 1 species